UCCCAAUGAGGAAACAUUCACAAGUCUUACUUCCUGUCCUAGUCCCAGAGCCUGUAAAGGUGAACCCACUGGGGCUGGCUGGGGGAGAAGAGGAGAGUUUGUUCCAGAAGGAACUGUCUGAGGGAU
rnacentral:snoRNA from 12 species